GGGAUGGGAAUGUAAACGGUUACCGGGCUGAUUUGGACUAUCCACAAGGUGAACUCUUGUGGCCACUAAAUUGGGGUUGAUCAUAUUUUAGUUGUUGUAGUGUUACUUAUUGGUCACUGUUGAGCAUAAUUUUGACUUCUAUGGAAGUAUGUCGUUUUUUUCUGGUGCUUUUCUUAUCUGUUUUAAAGGUUUUUAGCAUUCUGGUAUUAACAUAUGAUCAGUAAUGAUUUAUUCAUGAUCGCUUUACCAUUUUUCCAGACCUUGUUGAUACGAUACAUGAAAAUUUACGCUCUCGCAGUUAUCCAUUGCCAGCUAGAAUGUGUGGUGGGUGGUUGCUCCUGAUUCAAAAACUUGUCCUCUUAUCAUUUUUCAGCUUUAUUCUAAUACUCACUGCUCUGUUAUAACAUGAUUCCUUAAACAGUAGGCUUGCGUUUGGUUAAUUCUUUUUGAAGAAGAAUUUCGCCCCCUCGAUCCUUGUAGUGAAGACUUCAUGAAUGAACUCAAUGUGGAGCUUGCGUCAAAGUUGUCCCAGUGUGUUGUCUCACUGGCUGCAUUCAACGGUGCUUAUGCUUGCUUGAAUACAAUCAGGACUUCUGCACGUUAUUAUUUUCUCAGAUUGAAAUAAUGAUCUUAAUGUUGUGCAUAGGAAAAAUACGGCGGUUUG
rnacentral:lncRNA from 1 species